UGUAGAAUACAAAGUCCCAUCCUCCUUCUGAAAAAAAGGACAUCUGAAAUUACAAAUCCCAGGAUUUGGAGGCAGGGGGAAUCAUAAAGAUAGACUACCUAGAAAUGAGAGGGAAGUGACUAAGUGAAGGAUGAAAGUUAGAAUGUAAACAGAGGAAAGCCAAAUCAGCCACAGAUAAUCAAACAAGCAAUAGAACCUUGCCAGAAGAGAAGAACAAAAGACAAGAGGACAAAGUUAAAAGAAAUCAUAUUAACAGGAUCCAGUGGCCAAAAGUUAAGGACAGCAGAAAUUCAUCUUGAGAUAACUCAUGCUUUCCCAGCAUGGUGGAAUGAAAAAGCAGUGGACUAGAAACCAGCACAUAUGGAUUCCAGCCCUGGAUAUGCCUCUAAUUUGAUCCCUCUGAGUCUCAAUUUCCUCAUUUGUAAAAUGAGAAAGUUGGAUUAAAUUCUAUUCAAUAAACAUAUUAACACAGUGGUUAGCAUAUGGUAGGUGUUUAAUAGAUAUUUAUUGAUUAAUUGAUUGAUUGAUUGAAUAAUACCUAACAGGCAUGAAAGCCUUUGU